rnacentral:rRNA from 1 species
AGAGUUUGAUCCUGGCUCAGAUUGAACGCUGGCGGCAGGCUUAACACAUGCAAGUCGAGCGGAGAUGAGGUGCUUGCACCUUAUCUUAGCGGCGGACGGGUGAGUAAUGCUUAGGAAUCUGCCUAUUAGUGGGGGACAACAUUCCGAAAGGAAUGCUAAUACCGCAUACGUCCUACGGGAGAAAGCAGGGGAUCUUCGGACCUUGCGCUAAUAGAUGAGCCUAAGUCGGAUUAGCUAGUUGGUGGGGUAAAGGCCUACCAAGGCGACGAUCUGUAGCGGGUCUGAGAGGAUGAUCCGCCACACUGGGACUGAGACACGGCCCAGACUCCUACGGGAGGCAGCAGUGGGGAAUAUUGGACAAUGGGGGGAACCCUGAUCCAGCCAUGCCGCGUGUGUGAAGAAGGCCUUAUGGUUGUAAAGCACUUUAAGCGAGGAGGAGGCUACUGAGACUAAUACUCUGGAUAGUGGACGUUACUCGCAGAAUAAGCACCGGCUAACUCUGUGCCAGCAGCCGCGGUAAUACAGAGGGUGCGAGCGUUAAUCGGAUUUACUGGGCGUAAAGCGUGCGUAGGCGGCUUUUUAAGUCGGAUGUGAAAUCCCCGAGCUUAACUUGGGAAUUGCAUUCGAUACUGGGAAGCUAGAGUAUGGGAGAGGAUGGUAGAAUUCCAGGUGUAGCGGUGAAAUGCGUAGAGAUCUGGAGGAAUACCGAUGGCGAAGGCAGCCAUCUGGCCUAAUACUGACG